GAUGAACGCUGGCGGCGUGCCUAAUACAUGCAAGUCGAGCGAACAGACGAGGAGCUUGCUCCUCUGACGUUAGCGGCGGACGGGUGAGUAACACGUGGAUAACCUACCUAUAAGACUGGGAUAACUUCGGGAAACCGGAGCUAAUACCGGAUAAUAUAUUGAACCGCAUGGUUCAAUAGUGAAAGACGGUUUUGCUGUCACUGAUAGAUGGAUCCGCGCCGCAUUAGCUAGUUGGUAAGGUAACGGCUUACCAAGGCAACGAUGCGUAGCCGACCUGAGAGGGUGAUCAGCCACACUGGAACUGAGACACGGUCCAGACUCCUACGGGAGGCAGCAGUAGGGAAUCUUCCGCAAUGGGCGAAAGCCUGACGGAGCAACGCCGCGUGAGUGAUGAAGGUCUUCGGAUCGUAAAACUCUGUUAUUAGGGACGAACAAAUGUGUAAGUAACUAUGCACGUCUUGACGGUACCUAAUCAGAAAGCCACGGCUAACUACGUG
rnacentral:rRNA from 1 species